UAGGGAAUCUUCCGCAAUGGACGAAAGUCUGACGGAGCGACGCCGCGUGAGCGAAGAAGGUCUUCGGAUCGUAAAGCUCUGUUGUUAGGGAAGAAGAAGCGCCGUUCGAAGAGGGCGGCGCGGUGACGGUACCUAACGAGAAAGCCCCGGCUAACUACGUGCCAGCAGCCGCGGUAAUACGUAGGGGGCGAGCGUUGUCCGGAAUUAUUGGGCGUAAAGCGCGCGCAGGCGGUCCCUUAAGUCUGAUGUGAAAGCCCACGGCUUAACCGUGGAGGGUCAUUGGAAACUGGGGGGCUUGAGUGCAGAAGAGGAGAGCGGAAUUCCACGUGUAGCGGUGAAAUGCGUAGAGAUGUGGAGGAACACCAGUGGCGAAGGCGGCUCUCUGGUCUGUAACUGACGCUGAGGCGCGAAAGCGUGGGGAGCAAACA
rnacentral:rRNA from 1 species